CAUGGGUCAGUACAAUGUAAAAGGAAUUGGAAACAAGAGAAGCUUUUCUACAACAAGACUGUAGAAACUGAUCAGAGAGAUGCUGCUUUGGCCAACUGUCCAACAUCUACUGAAACAGAUAUAGCAAGCUUCAUAGGUUAAUAUUUGAAACAAACAUGCUCCAAGAAAGCUCUUGAGGGAGCAUGAGAGAGCGGAAUGAGCAGCGAGGCAAGCCACAACAGCUGAUAAAUCGGAUUAAACUGUAUGGGGGGAGUGUGUGUAAGCGUGUGUGUGUGUGUUUUUGUGUGGUUAAUUUAGUCUGAUUAAAUAUUACUAAAACCCUU
rnacentral:lncRNA from 1 species